rnacentral:misc_RNA from 1 species
CCGAACCAACCCGGAAUCUAUCCCGCACCAACCCCAUUUUUAAGCCCCAGAAGUCCCAGCCCCCAACCGGCCUCCGUGAAUUAUUGCCACCGCCGGCGGCGGCGACAACGACUACUUCUGAAGACGUCUGAUCUCUAAGUUUCAUCUCUUAUAGCAACUUUAAGGAAAAAAUAUUAGGUCGGAAGAUCUGCUUCCAAUCAUGACCAUCUCGGACGACGAGGACGAUUUCUUGGCACACUUCCUCGAAUCAGAGGUCCUCUCCGAAGUCUCGGAUCAGGAAGAGGCGGAGGAGGCAGAGAAGGAAGAGGAGAAGGUGGAGGAGAAGGAGGAGGAGGAGCUAAAAGCGAAAAGAGUUCGUUUAAAUGAAAUUGAGAAUCCAAAGGAGAAAGAGAAAGGG